GCAAACAUACCAGCACUAAUGCACCGGAUCCUAUUAAAACUCCGUAUUUAAGCAUUCUUGGGCAAGAUAGUACUAGUAUGGGUGACCCCCUAGAAAGUUCUUAUUUU